rnacentral:tRNA from 1 species
AGUCUUAUAGUCAAAAAUGAUAUUAAAUUGCAAAUUUAAUGGUAAGUGCAUAGCCACUUAAGGCUU